rnacentral:rRNA from 1 species
UACGGGGGGUGCGAGCGUUGUCCGGAAUGACUGGGCGUAAAGGGCGCGUAGGCGGCUUGCACCGUCAGAUGUGAAAUUCCUGGGCUUAACCUGGGGGCUGCAUUUGAUACGUGUGGGCUUGAGUGCGGAAGAGGGUCGUGGAAUUCCCAGUGUAGAGGUGAAAUUCGUAGAUAUUGGGAAGAACACCGGUGGCGAAGGCGGCGACCUGGUCCGUGACUGACGCUGAGGCGCGAAAGCGUGGGGAGCAAACAGG